CCUACGGGCGGCUGCAGUGGGGAAUAUUGCACAAUGGGCGCAAGCCUGAUGCAGCCAUGCCGCGUGUGUGAAGAAGGCCUUCGGGUUGUAAAGCACUUUCAGCGGGGAGGAAGGCGGUGAGGUUAAUAACCUCAUCGAUUGACGUUACCCGCAGAAGAAGCACCGGCUAACUCCGUGCCAGCAGCCGCGGUAAUACGGAGGGUGCAAGCGUUAAUCGGAAUUACUGGGCGUAAAGCGCACGCAGGCGGUCGGUCAAGUCGGAUGUGAAAUCCCCGGGCUCAACCUGGGAACUGCAUUCGAAACUGGCAGGCUAGAGUCUUGUAGAGGGGGGUAGAAUUCCAGGUGUAGCGGUGAAAUGCGUAGAGAUCUGGAGGAAUACCGGUGGCGAAGGCGGCCCCCUGGACAAAGACUGACGCUCAGGUGCGAAAGCGUGGGGAGCAAACAGGAUUAGAUACCCGAGUAGUC
rnacentral:rRNA from 1 species